UACGUAGGGGGCAAGCGUUGUCCGGAUUUACUGGGCGUAAAGAGCGUGUAGGCGGCCAAGCAGGUCCGUUGUGAAAACUCGAGCUCAACCUCGAGACGCCGAUGGAAACCCUCCAGCUAGAGUCCGGAAGAGGAGAGUGGAAUUCCUGGUGUAGCGGUGAAAUGCGCAGAUAUCAGGAAGAACACCCGUGGCUAAGGCGGCUCUCUAGUACGGUACUGACGCUGAGACGCGAAAGCGUGGGGAGCGAACAGG
rnacentral:rRNA from 1 species